GACGAACGCUGGCGGCGUGCUUAACACAUGCAAGUCGAACGGAAAGGCCCUGCUUUUGUGGGGUGCUCGAGUGGCGAACAGGGGAGUAACACGUGAGUAACCUGCCCUUGACUUUGGGAUAACUUCAGGAAACUGGGGCUAAUACCGGAUAGGAGCUCCUGCUGCAUGGUGGGGGUUGGAAAGUGUCGGCGGUUGGGGAUGGACUCGCGGCUUAUCAGCUUGUUUGUGGAGUAGUGGGUUACCAAGGCUUCGACGGGUAGCCGGCCUGAGAGGGUGACCGGCGACACUGGGACUGAGAUAAGGCAGAGACUCCUACGGGAGGCAGCAGGGGGGAAUAUUGCAGAAUGGGCGGAAGCCUGAUGCAGAAACGCCGCGUGCCGGAUGACGGCCUUCGGGUUGUAAACCGCUUUCGUCUGUGACGAAGCGUGAGUGAAGGUAAUGGGUAAAGAAGCACCGGCUAACUACGUG
rnacentral:rRNA from 1 species